UCACUUUCCUCUUUCCUGAAAUGGGAAAUGAGAAAGGGGGAGGGGAGAGGAACCUUCAUGGUGAUUUUGGGCUUCAUAGGCUUGCUGGCACCCCAGAGAAC